AACCUGCGGUUGGAUCACCUCCUUA
rnacentral:ncRNA from 4 species